GUGUAAACCUAGUCACAGCUGCUCCACAUACAGAAGCAGAAGGGAGUGAGCAUGCAGACAGCCUGCCUGCUCACAGAGCCGGGCCACUCACCUCAGAACAUCUCAGAACACGAUAGACUGAUAGCAAAAAGAAAAAGACCUUUGGGUCCACUUGAGCUGAGACUACAAAGACAACUGCAGCUACUACAAGAGGAAGAAGAAAUAGUCUAAGCAUCUGUUGACACUGACCAGCUAAAUAUAUCCUAAUGGAGAUCCUCAUUUCAGUCUUCUAUGUGGGGAGGGUGGCGUGAGGAAGGCCGUGG
ensembl:lncRNA